GAUGAACGCUAGCGGCAGGCCUAACGCAUGCAAGUCAGGGGUAACAUAGAAAAGCUUGCUUUUCUGAUGACGACCGGCGCACGGGUGCGUAACGCGUAUACAACCUACCUUUUAGCGGGGAAUAGCCCAGGGAAACUUGGAUUAAUGCCUCAUAGUAUAUAAGCUUCUCCUGAAGUUUAUAUUAAACAUUUAUGGCUAUUAGAUGGGUAUGCGUCCUAUUAGUUAGUUGGUAAGGUAACGGCUUACCAAGGCAGCGAUAGGUAGGGGUCCUGAGAGGGAGAUCCCCACACUGGUACUGAGACACGGACCAGACUCCUACGGGAGGCAGCAGUGAGGAAUAUUGGACAAUGGGCGAGAGCCUGAUCCAGCCAUGCCGCGUGCAGGAAGACUGCCCUAUGGGUUGUAAACUGCUUUUACAGAGGAAGAACCACCCCCACGUGUGGGGGUUUGACGGUACUCUGCGAAUAAGGAUCGGCUAACUCCGUG
rnacentral:rRNA from 1 species